rnacentral:rRNA from 1 species
UACGUAGGGGGCAAGCGUUAUCCGGAUUUACUGGGUGUAAAGGGAGCGUAGGCGGCUGUGUAAGCCAGAGGUGAAAGCCCGGGGCUCAACUCCGGGACUGCUUUUGGAACUACAUGGCUUGAUUGCAGGAGAGGCAAGUGGAAUUCCUAGUGUAGCGGUGAAAUGCAUAGAUAUCACACAGAACACCGAUUGCGAAGGCAUCUCACGAAUCCGCUAUUGACGCUGAUGCACGAAAGCGUGGGUAUCAAACAGG